AAGCAGCGUGUUCGCAAUGCCACAGCACAAAGUAUUGUUCCCAGAACAUACAAAGCCUUGUUUGGAUUAUAUCACUUGUUGGAUUUACUGUGUAUGGGCUUUGUUUCAUGUUUUCUGGUUUUUGAGUUUCGGUUUGUGAGUUUCAGUUUCGUUUGCCCUUCUGUGUUUGAUUUUGCAGGUUUUUGACCCUUUUCUUCCGUAUUCCUGUUUACAUCUUUGCUUAGCGUUUGUGUUCUAAUAAAGAUUUGCAUAUGGAUUCUCAAUCUUCUACAUCGGGUCAGGCAUUACAAUAAUACAGUAUUGCUAAAAUAUUGUGUGAUUAUAAUUAAUGGCUUUGAAAAUGGGGUUGAUUGGUUCAUAUAUCUUCCAUGAUAUAUAAUAGUGGUGCUGUAGUGAAGCAUUUUAUGCUUUAGCUCAUAUCGUAAAUACUGUAAGUCAUAUAGUAAAAAUGCGCUUGAUACACACAAGGCUCUGUGCUGCUUAGCUCUCUCUCACUCAUGGUGCUCAUCUCCCCCCCCUUUUUUUACCUACUGCCAAAUGCUGAAUUACACUACACUGUCAAGGCAAGUAUUAUUAUUAUUAUUAUUAUUAUUAUUAGGCGAGUAUGUUGACCAGAUCAUCAUUUCAUUAAUAUUUUCCAACAUCAAGCUGUAUAAACUUAAAUGCUUAUUGGAUUCACUGUAAGCAUAUUAGGUGAUGUGUGUUUGUGUAAUGAGGGAGGGUGUGGCCAAAGGAGAUCAACACCAUAUAUCUAGGUGUGCAUAAUUAUUAGGCAGUUUCUUUUCCUCAGGCAAAAUGGGCCAAAAAAAAGUCAGUUAGAAAGAAGAAAAUGAAAGAGAGGGGGCUAGCUAUUAAGAGGAUGAAGAGUGGAAAGGCAGUUGGCAGAGCUGCUCCAAGAUGCUGCGAUUUGCUUUGGGAGUGACGAGGAUGGAUAGGAUUGGAAAUGAGUAUAUUAGAGGGACAGAGCAGGUAGGAUGGUUUGGAAACAGUGAGAGGUGAGAUUUAGAUGAUAUGAGACACAUGUAGAGGAGGGAUACAGGAUAUAUUGGAAAAAAAUGCUGAGGAAGUAGCCACCAGGCAAGAGGAGAAGAGGAAGGCCAAGGAGAAGGUUCAUAGAUGUGGUUAUGAAAGACAUACAGGUGGUUGGUGUGACAGAGGAAGAUGCAGAGCACAGAUCGAGAAAUAUGAUCUGCUGUAGCAAUCCUUAAUUGGAACAGCUGAAAGAAGAAGAAGACUUUUGGGAUAGAAAUAUUGCCGACCAAAAACUGCAUUUAUAGAAAAUAGCAGACUUUUGGACACAUCUGUGUGUGUUAAUUUAUGUGCUUAAUUAAGUACUUAAUUAAGUUGUCUCAUAUUCUAACCUAAUAUAUAGUAUUUCCUGCUUGUUCUUUAUAGCUGCUGUUUUUGAAAAUGUGCAGAUUAAUAAGGAUAAAAUGACUCAUGAGUAAUUCAACUGAAUUUAGCACCAGAAUUUUAUUGUCAGUCCAGUGAAUUGAAACAAGAUUUUUAAUGAGAUAAUGCCUGUUAAUAUUAAUAUUAAUAUUAAUAUUAAUAAUACAAUAUUAAUGACUGUUGUUCAGCACAAAGCUCUAUUUUACAGUAUGAAAUGCAAAGUAUUGAAUAAUUCUGUCAUGUAUGAAAACAUGCCCUGGGAUGCAAUAGCCUUGACCAUACCAGGAGCAAACUCCACAGAGGAGGGCCAAGUGACAGGACCUGAAGAUCUCCUAUCCUUUUUAAGAAAACCAACGCUAAGAGGAGAGACAUUUUUAGGGUCAGAAACAUCAAAUGCUGACUACAUUGGCUCAAAAGGGGCUUCAAACUAAGAGGUACAAAGCAGGGAGACGUAGGGUGCAGGAAGACCUCAGCUGCCUGGUACUGAGAAGAAAGCGAGAGCUCAGGGGGUGCCUCCCUUUUAUGCCCUCAGAGAGGUGUGUCUGCAGAAACUCCAGCACUGUGCUAUAAAGGCAGUGAACUGGCUCCUGAUGAUACUGAUCGCACCAGAGGCAGAAAAGCCUCCACUUCAAGGCACAUCUUCUUGUGGAGGGACUUAACUUUUGUAACCACCUCCAGCAGCUCUUCAAAUGGCAUAGAUUGUGGUGGCAAUUCAACUGCUGUUUGUUGCUAUAACAGUGAUCUCCUCUGAGCCCAAUGCAGACAACACAAAAUUCUUGUCCAAUUUGGUACAAAUCACAGAGCGAGCACCUGAAACUGAAGCAGGAAUAUCAGAGUCAGGGAAAAGGACAAGAGUGGAUCAUCUGCCUCAUGACCUGAGACCCUCAUGACCAAAGCUGACAUGCUGCCUCAGCAGACAAGGAAUCCGGGCCACAAGGCGCAGGUGCUUGGCUGGAGAAAACAGCCAAGCGGGAGCAGAGCUUGCAUAGAGGAAAUCUCUCACGAUGCAUGCAAUUGUAUAAUUAACCCUAUUCUUUGGAUAUGUUCUUCUGCCCUAGUCUUAGACAAACAGCAUAAAUUCACUACAAACAUACACAGAGCUCUUCCUGAAGACAAAGAAGCUGGAGGGAUGUGAUGUAGAUGCCCUUUUUUGGUCUUGCUAGCACUCAUUGCUUUAUCACAUGACCUCCCUAAUUGACAGGUAUUCACACAUAGCUUCAAACACAACUUCCAUAAAAGGGUGUUACCAUAGCAUCAAAUUGUGAUGCAGCAUCAAGUUCCCUUGAAAGGGAACUAAAUUAAGGCUAAGGUAAGGCUUAACUGAAAGGGAAAACAUGAUACUGGAAAGCUUCACCCCCAAAAACGAACCUGAGAAAUCUCCUGUGUUCGGUUCAGAAUGCAGAAUUGCACAGAUCCAGAAUUGGAUGCAGCCCCCAUCCAAAUAAGUACCAACCAUAAAACCCUGAGUCCCGCUCCUGGAGGGAAACAUAUUCUAUGGCCCCUUUGUCCAAAUGACUAUAUCCAUAAUACUACUCAAAUCUUAUAUUUACAGAAAGCUAUAUGCAUUGUGAAUUUAUAAGUGAGCUGUUAGUAAGUUGAAUUUGCUGGCACUUACAAAUAAUAAAACAUUGAUCACAUUUACAUUCUUUAUUAAUUCAACUUCUUAACUCACUGUGAAACAUGUAGCUUCAGACCUAGCUAAACCCAAAAUGAUUGAGAUAUUGCUGAAUGUUUCAAAAAGCAAUUAAGUUAAGUAGCCUUUAUUUGUCAAAUAUACAUUACUGCACAGGAAAAAAUUUUCUUUGCAUAUCCCAUCUUUAAGGGGUUGAGGAGCAGCUUGGGAGUGCUGAGGCUUGAACCCUGAUUUUCCAAUCAGCAGCCAGGGAGUGCUGAGGCUUGAACCCUGAUUUUCCAAUCAGCAGCCCAGAGCCUUAACCACAUGAGCUACCACUGAUUCUUGACUGUGAAAGUGUGAACACUGACAUGUGGGAUUGGACUUACUGCGUCAAAUAUACCAGCCAAAGGUGCAGUAGAAUUGCAAUGAUAAAUGGUUCCAGAUUCUUCUGCACACAGAUAUAUACAUAUACAUUUCUGGAAAAAAUAAGAGACCAUUCCAAAAUAAUCUUAUGUUUCUUAUGUUUUUUCUUACAGGUGCAUAUAUUGUUGAGAUGAACAGUUUUGUUUAAAUUUUUGUGAACUGCUGACAAUAUUUCUCCUAAAUUCAAAAUAUAACUAUUGUUAUUUAGAGUGUAUAUUUAAAGGAAAUGACAACACAUCAAAAUAACCCAAGAUAAUGCAGUAUUUGCAGAGCUUUAAUAACCCAUAAUACAUCCUGGUGCCAUGUGUUCCCCAGUUCUGAUGCUUAUGUGCCCAUUGUUGGCACUUCUGGUGGUGCACAGGGGUCUGCGUGGGCACCACUGUUCAUUCCUUGGACCACUUUCGAUAAAUACUGACCACUGCAGACCACGAACACCCCACAAGAGCUGCAGUUUUGGAGAUGCUCUGAUCCAGUCAUCUUGCUAACACAAUUAGACCUUAUCAAACACGAUCAAAUCCUUAUGCCUGCCCAUUUUUUGUGCUUCUAACACAUCAAUUUUGAGGACAAAAUUUUCAAUAAAAUAAAAUAAUUUUAUUUAUUUAUUGAUUGAUUGAUUGAUUGAUUGAUUUAUUUAUAACAGCGCACACACCAGAAAGACAAAACCGCUCUUUACCCCAUUAAAGCAGCAGUGUAGAGGAAACAGCAGCUUCAUAGACAGCAAGUGUGACUGCGAGGCAAGGCGGCCAAAAUCAUGGCAAAACCUGAGGAACGAAUCAGGAUCGCUACUUUUCCAAGAGAAGACUCUUGGAGCCAACUAAGCUCGCAUUAAGGGGAGUUUCAGUGGGUGAAAGCUAAUGUUCUGCGCCUUUCUUUUCUUUUUCUUUUUUGUUCCAGAAUCAGAAAGCUGAAGGUGGCAAUGCUCCCCGACCUGCUGAGCCCAAGCCAUGCUCCUUGGACCUACCUCGCCACCUUGCUGACCUGCUGCUUUAGCAACACUUCUCCUCCACCAACAAUGGCCUUCAGCACCCCUGCACCUUCACCCCGGUUGGAUCUUCACCAACACCUUAUUUUUCAAUAAAGAGUACUAUUUUCCACA